UCUACGCAAUAACUGCACGAUGGCUAUCCCGCUAAUUUCUCUGCUCCAGAUCCCCAUCGUCUUCCCAAUAGCUCUGCCCCCGCGGUCCCCUCCACCCUGCCGUACCGCCGCCGAGCUCCCGCGCCGCCUUCACGCGUGCCCGCUUUGCCGCCGUCAUGCUACAAGCCCUCCUAUAAUGGAUCCGCAGGGAGAGCGCACACCUGUCGCUGUAGAGGAAGAACCAGUGCACUCGCUGCCGCCGCCAUGUGAGAGGCUCCUGCUUCCGGAAGCGAGGAGCUGGUCGAGGUCCAACUCCUCAAGGAGAGGCGCACUCCACAUGCUCGCCGGGCUGCCCUCACCCACCCCAUGGCUACCUGCUCCCCGCUGCGCCCACCCACCCCAUGCACUACUAGCUUGCUGUGACCCUCCGCCAUGGGCAUCAGCGCCUGCCGUGGUAGCUGCGGCAAGCAUUUUCUGACCACUUAAGUGUUUGUUAUAAUGCCUGCAAGAAGUCAAGCAAAAAAGUAUUUCAAGUUUGUACCGAUGUUUAUGAUAGUUGGAGAUUAGGGGUAAAAUAUAUUUUCUUACUGGCUAAUGAUUGUAUCAAUUUGUUAUGUGGGAAUUUUGUUAUAGCAAAAGCUGAAUAGGUGUUCGUCGGCUAUCCGUCGUCUUCAUCUGCCCGUCUGCAUCAUGGUACGUUUGCUACAGCUUAGUAAUUAGAAUCAGUCCUGUUCAUGUCUGUGUUGCGUCAACUGCCAUUUUCCAAUAGAAUUUAUUUUGUGAGCAAUCGAUUUGGCCACAUCCUAACGGAACAUAAAACUCUGAUGAAUCGAUCUGGCCGCAUCAUUUUAGGCUUAUUGAUUGAUCUGGUUAAUUUGUUUGCAAUUUGCUAUGCAAAUCAAUCUAGCUGGUUUUUAGAGUUAAUCACAAUAACUGAAAUAUUAACCUCAAGAGGUCUCUUCACUAACUUUAGAGUUGAUUUUUAGAUCCAAAUAGAUUUAGUUCCUGCAGUAAUUUGCGAAUGUCGUACGUCUGAAGUGCUUUCAGCGAUACCAACAUGCACAUACAAGUGCUUCGAAGCAUGCAUGUUGAUUGAUUUCUGGGAGACUAGCAUGCACGAAGAAGCGAGCCUAGAUAAGCUUUCGGCUGUAGCUCACGAAUAUAUUCCAACAAAUUUCUUCUCCGUUGAACUAUUUUGUCCUACCGCAGAUGCCUAAUCAUCAAAACUAUGAGCCAGUAGGCCAUCAUUUACAAGUUCAAUGAUUCAGUGAUGUUGAAGCUAAUCAUUUGACUUCGCUGCCUUCUCACCAUAUAGGUAUUGUACCAAUUUUAAAUUUUAAGUUAGUGGGGUUGAUAAUUUGGUACUGCAGACAGUCACAUAAUGACUAAGUAUUGCUAAUUUUCCCAACGAAUCAAAGUUAGGUUCAUAUGUUCUCCGAGAAGCUUAGUAUAUGGCCUUUGGGCACAGGUACAUUUUAAAACAUGGCAUGGUGAUGAAAAUGUCUUCUUAGAAAAUGAAUUUGUAAUGAGAAAUUAUGUUCUAUUUUUUUCUAGCUAUAUACAAUUACUGAAGAUGGGCUAAGAGUUGUGCCUUUUUAAUUACUCCGAAUUUACAUAGCAAAGAAUCUGUAAUGAGAAGUUAUGUUUCAUGCAUGCAAAUAACGUAUGCAUCUUCUGGAAUCCAAGGGUCAGAACAUUCAUCUGGACCCGUCAGACAUAUCCGAGAUGCUGAUGAAAUCAGUCACCAAUUUUUGAAAAUCGACAAUGUUUAUAUGGACACCAAAGCUUGAUGUUGUAUUUUCCCGUUACUCUACCUUCUACCAUAGACCACUGAACUUUUGCCUCCAGUGCAAUGAAUUAUACAUACCGCACAUGCUUCUGAUUUGUAAUGCCCUUUUUGCUACAUAUACAAUACUAUUGAAGCUUUUGACUGCUCAUACUUUACUUGAGAGUGUAAUUAUGCAACCCUAACUAUAUGAAGAAAGUAAUUAUGACCGACUCUACUUGCAGAAGGUUGGAGUCUAUUACAUCGAAAGAAGAAAUACUAUAUGAAGUUCCAAAGUUACUUUUUUAUUUGUGAAAGUCUGAUGCAUCUCAGACUCUGUUGCUUUGCUGCAGGAUGAUGAAGAGGAAAAGGGAAAGGGGAAGGAGCUCAUGGAAACAAAGAGGGGUGGAAUAAGGAAUAAACAAGGAUGGGAUGGGAGGCCUCCAAGCCAACGGCAAACUUCAUUAACGGUCCAUAUCACAUCUUGAAACCAGCAUUAGUUGAGACUACAAGAUUUAAAACAUCUUACUAUUGAUAAAAAAAUGGAAACUCAGGUAAAAGGUAAUCAGAUUUUUUUUAGGAGUCAUUUCCUGUCUGCUUCAGAAAAUAAGUUCUUCAGGGCAUAGAACAAAUCUUUACAUCACCAUUGUUAUUUUUAUUUACUUCCAGUUAUAACACUUCAGCCCAUGCUUGUUGAAUUUGUGAUGCUUGUAAUGCUCUUUGUGGAAAAUAACCGACACACACUUUGUUUGCUUAACUAAUGGUGAAAGUUUAAAAAUGAUAGUAAUAUCAGCGUUCGACUUUGUACAUCUGAAAUUUUUGUCAACUGAAACGUGCUGCAAGUGGUUGCCUCAUUGUUAAAUGCAUGCUGAUGUAUCCUUUUUUUACGUGUCUCUUCUCUAUAGAAACAUAAGGUCAGCUUCAAUGUGAAGUUUUCUGCUCACGGUGCACAUAAUUCCUGUUUAUAUGAGAAACAUUUGCAUGUAUAUUUUAGCCUAAAGUUUAAACUCACUUUUCUCUUUGGGGUGAGUUGAGCUUAAACCUUGUGUUGGUAAGAGAGAAGGAGCAUAUUGAAGUUAGUUUGUGGCACUCCUGGAGUGCCUCUCCCCAAGUACUCCCUCCGUUCGGAAUUACUUUGUCUCGGAAAUGAAUGUAUCUAGACGUAUUUUAGUUCUACAUACAUCCAUUUUCGAGACAAGUAAUUCCGAACGGAGGGAGUAUCAGUCUGAGACUGAUUGCUCUCUUGUUGUGGUCUAACAAAACUUGAAAUAUAUGGAAAGUUAUGUUGUGCUACCUAUAAGUUAUAGCUCGACUUUUUCAUAGAAAAAUAUUUUGCUGAAGAGACAACAAUGUGUAGUUUCAGGUCGUGUCUUCCUUUGUUUUAGAGUUGUUUAAACUUAGUGGCUUCGUUGCUCUUGUUUGCCUUCAUUAUGUUGAUGUACUAUUCUCUUCUUAAUAUAUUUAUAUACACGCAGCUCUCAUGUAUGUUCUCGGAAAAGGUAACGAGUUUUUCCUACAUUCAAGCAUUGCAAUUUAAAGUAAGGUUUCAGCCAUUAUUUGUUAGCAGAAAUCCAGUGAUCUAUAUGCAAACAAUCUCUCUGUUAUUAGUAAUCUUGUGGGACAUUGUAUAUUUCUUAGCUAUUUGUAUGUUUCACUUGGCAGCAAGUAUCAUUAUACCGCUUGAGAAGACUAAAGCAUGGGAGAUUGUGGUUUCCAAAUCAGAGAAUUGUGGUCUUGAAGUUGUUGGUAAAAGGUAAUUCAUAUAGGCCAAGACGUUCUCACUAUGCCGCAAUGGGAACAUUUACGAAGAGAUUAACCAUCUGAAGACUUGGUUACCUGGUUUUAUUUUAAAGGAAGCCGUGUGUGAGGGAAAGAGAGCAAUAAAUUUGUGCAUGAACUAACAGUGUUAGUAAGAAUUUAGCGUCAGCGAGGUUGGAGGAGACGAGGGCAUAUUAUUCCGGGUGGUGUCGAAGGAUGCGGGGAGCAAACCACCGCACCCAAGAGAGUAGAAAAAGGCCGGCUGUCCCUCAAACACAUUCCACAUAUGGGGAAGAAAUGAGGCUGUUCAGGCAGUCUGCUACGUCGGGUGCAGCUCACCUCAGACCAAGUUUUUUCUUUCUUUAUUCUCUCUCUCUCCAUCCCAACCAGUAAUAUGCAUGCGAUUGAUAAUUUGGGGGACCUGGCUGCAUGAAUAGACAAACGAGGUUCAAAGUGGACACAUCCAGACAUUGUUCAGAUGUGCCAGCUGACAUACAUUGGGUAGGUCAUAUUUUCCCAGUUCAAUUGUAGAUGCUUUUAUCUUUUUAGUAGAAUAGGUUAGGAUAGAUCAAACCAUAUUUCUUAACGAUACGUGCGUUG